rnacentral:Y_RNA from 1 species
GGCUGGUCUGAAGGUAGUGAGUUAUCACACUUAAUUGGUCACAGUUACAGACAGAAUUCCUUGUUCUACUCUUUGCCCCUUGUCAUGACUGUACUCGACUAGUCUUUA